UGCUACCGGUCAUGUGACAAUAACAAAACUCUACGUAUGGCCACUGGUCAGACCACCCUCUAAACGUGUAACUUCUGUUGAUACUGUAUUUAAACUACCAUUUGAAAAGCACAAUGCGAUAAUUAAUACAGCUACAAGAAGAAUGUAAGUCUCCCCGGCUGUUAAUCACCGGGGUAAAGUGCAGCACACACGAAAGGUCUUUGGCCUCUACAGUUAGACCGGGAUGGCGCCGCUUAAAUUAUGUGCGAAUAUUUCAUGGCUGUUCACGGAGCUUCCAGACUUCAGUCAGAGAAUCUACGCUGCUGCCUCGGCUGGCUUUCAGGCGGUGGAGGCAGCCUGGCUCUACGACUGCGACCUGCAGGAGCUGCAGAGAGCCAGAGAGGCUGCAGGAGUGGAGGUGAUCCUCAUCAACACCCCGCCCGGAGAUGUAAAGGAAGGGGAUCUUGGUCUUGGAGCUGUUCCUGGGAGAGAGGAAGAGUUCAGACAGGGUCUGGAUCUGGCUUUGAAGUAUGCAAAAGCUUUGGACUGCAAAAGGAUCCACCUGAUGGCAGGACGGGUUCCCGUGGGUUCACACAGACUAGCGGUUGCCAAGGAGAUGGAGGCCGUCUUUGUGCACAACCUAAACUAUGCUGCUGAUAUCCUCUCAAAGGAAGGAAUCACUGGUUUGAUUGAACCAAUCAACACGAGGAUUACGGAUCCCAGGUAUUUUCUGGACUCUCCUCAUCAGGGUAAAUACAACUCAUGUCUGGCAUACAGUAUAUCUCAAAACAGCUGCAAUACUGGAGAAGGUUGGGAAGCCCAACAUCAAGCUGCAGAUGGACGUCUUUCACUGGCAAAUAAUGGAUGGAAACCUGACACAAAACAUACACAAGUAUUUUCCUAUAAUUGGUCAUGUUCAGGUUGCUCAGGUUCCAGGCAGGAAUGAGCCCGAUAGUGCCGGAGAGCUCAACUCCAGCUAUCUGUUCAACUUGCUGGAAAACCUCGACUACCAGGGAUACAUCGGCUGUGAAUACAAGCCACUGGGCUCCACAAAGGAGGGUCUUGGUUGGAUCAAAGAUUACUGCACACGCAGCAAGUGAUGAUCAGUGUCCAGUCACACAGCUGUUUGUUUCAAGUGUUCUGCUUAAAGGCAGGCUCGUUAACUUCUUCCACUAACAAUAUUUGUACAUUUAAGUGUAUUAAUUUAUGACUUAAUUCUACUGUAAAACAUUUUUACUAUGUAGAUAUUAAGCAUUUUACUAAAUUGUGAUAAUUAUACAACCAGACUCGUUUCUGCACCCAGUGCUGCUGGAUAUCAGAGAGGAUGCAGGUUUAAUGCACAUCAGCAUUUGCCUCACUUUUCAGAGCCGGAGUCUUGAUUCUGUCGAAAUAAUGCAAAACCAUCAUGAAACCAAAAUAUAUGAAAUAAUUCUGCCAUUUGGUUUCAGAUUGUUUUCUCUCAAGAGAACACAUGACAAGUGAUUUACAGAGAACAAGUAUGUUGCAGCAGACAAGAAAAAAUGCAAUUUAUUUCAGUUAGCCAGAUGUCAGGAAUUGAAAAUCAAGACAAAUCAAUGUUUAUCAAAUAGAGCUCAGUGAUCCAUGUAUGACAAACAUACUUACAAUGAUUCUCAUACAUCCUACUGCUUUAUUUAGCAUUUCAUACUGUAUAAAGUGUUCUGUAUAUACAUAAUAUACAUAAUACAGUAAGAGACAGUGCAGUGUUUAUAACUAAGGGCUAACUCGUUCACAUUUUGCACCAUGAAUAUCCAGUUUCAGACUGAAUUCUCUGAGCAGUGAGAACGCCGCUCUGCUUCAUAUUUCUUCAUUUUACAUCCACAAAUAAACAUUCAGUUUUC